CACUUCCCUAUCCGAGAGGUCCCUCUCACUUCCUUCUCACUGCGCUCUGCUCCGAUUGCAAAGUAGUCCCGGAGGAUGAGCCGCUGUGAUUGGAGGACGACGACAAGCGGAUGGUUUGGGCUCAGGAGGAAAGGACCUGCCUGAUGGCGCCCGGCAUUUGGCGGGAGAGAUUUCGUUUGUAAUUCUAGGGAGGAGAGAAUGACCCCUUAGCGACAUCACCCCCCACGCGCGUGACUGAGACUUCGUCCUCCCGUGAGGGUAAACGUGGGAGGUAAAGAGACCUUCCGCUGCGUAAAGCUGGCUCGACCCGGAAACAAAAUCAUUUAAAAAAGGAUUCACAUUCUGGAAGGGCGGGGGAAUUGAUAAGUUGGGACUACCGGACAGCUUCUCAGGUUGCUAAGCGACGAUGCGGGAGCGCGCGCACACCCCGGACGCUUUGUAGCACCUGAGGGAACUGUGGUGGCGGCGGCGGCCUGGAGACCCAAGAGACCAAGUGAGCUUGUCGCUCCCUCUCGAGUCCAAGGACCUAGCCCAGGAACCUUCUGCCCGGGUAGUGUCUGGUGAUGAGGCGAGAGUUUUGCCGGGACGCCUACUCCGAAGCGGCUGGGAGUCGCGCUUCUUCCCCCUCCCGUGGCAGAAAACUAUGAUAAAUUCUGGACAAAAUACAGAAAACCCACAACUCUCUGAAGGCACUGGAGAGUGACCAUAGCAGGCAUAAACUGAAAGGGAGUCUAUACUUGGAAAGAGGGAGUAUCACUGAAUAAACAAAAAUGAGGUUUUGUUGCCAGCAGACCUUCACUACAAGAAAUGCUAAAGGAAAUUCUUCAGGCUGAAAGGAAAUGAUACCAGAUGGAAAUUUGGAUCUGAGGAAUGGAGAACUCCAGAAAUGGACAGAGAUUCCUUCUGCCAUCAGAUGUCUUUCUGCUUGACUGAACUGCACCUGUGGUCUUUGAAGAAUACCUUACACAUUGCGGAUAGAAACAUUGGGAUUUACCAGUAUUAUGACAAGAAAGAUCCACCAGCGACAGAGCAUGGUAACUUAGAAGAAAAGCAGAAACUGGCAGAGUCACGAGAUUAUCCUUGGACGCUCAAAAACAGACGCCCAGAAAAACUCCGAGACUCACUCAAAGAGUUGGAGGAGCUGAUGCAAAACAGUCACUGUGUGCUGAGCAAAUGGAAGAACAAAUAUGUCUGUCAGCUCCUCUUUGGUUCAGGUGUGCUGGUGUCGCUAAGCCUUUCUGGGCCGCAGCUGGAGAAAGUGGUGAUUGACAGAAGCCUGGUGGGGAAGCUCAUCUCAGACACCAUCAGUGAUGCUCUUCUCACAGACAGUUUUAUCAUCUUAUCAUUUUUGGCACAAAACAAGCUAUGUUUUAUUCAGUUUACCAAGAAGAUGGAUUCUUCUGAUGUAAACAAAAGACUGGAAAAACUCUCAGCCUUGGAUUAUAAGAUUUUCUAUUAUGAAAUACCUGGCCCAAUAAACAAGACAACAGAGCGACAUCUAGCUAUCAACUGUGUUCAUGAUAGAGUUGUUUGCUGGUGGCCACUGGUCAAUGAUGAUGCUUGGCCUUGGGCCCCCAUUUCUUCUGAGAAGGACAGAGCCAAUCUACUCCUCCUGGGUUAUGCUCAAGGAAGACUAGAGGUUCUGAGUUCUGUCCGCACAGAAUGGGACCCACUGGAUGUUUGCUUUGGCACCAAACAGCCUUAUCAGGUGUUCACAGUGGAACACUCCAUCAGUGUAGACAAAGAGCCAAUGGCUGACAGCUGCAUCUAUGAAUGCAUUCGGAAUAAAAUCCAGUGUGUGUCAGUCACCAGAAUACCACUGAAAUCAAAGGCCAUCAGCUGCUGCAGGAAUGUUACUGAAGACAAACUGAUUCUGGGCUGUGAAGAUUCUUCACUAAUUCUGUAUGAAACUCACCGUAGAGUGACUCUCUUAGCACAGACUGAACUUUUGCCUUCAUUAAUAAGCUGCCACCCAAGUGGUGCCAUUCUACUAGCUGGCAGCAACCAAGGGGAGUUGCAAAUUUUUGAUAUGGCUCUAUCACCUAUUAACAUCCAACUACUGGCUGAAGACCGCUUACCCAGGGAGACUCUGCAAUUCAAUAAAUUAUUUGAUGCCUCCAGCAGUCUUGUUCAAAUGCAAUGGAUAGCUCCUCAGGUUGUUUCUCAGAAGGGUGAAGGUAGUGAUAUCUGUGAUCUCCUCUUCCUCAGGUUUGAAAGAGGACCUUUGGGUGUGCUGUUGUUUAAACUAGGUGUCUUCACUCAAGGACAGCUGGGCCUGGUAGACAUCAUCUUCCAGUACAUUCACUGUGAUGAGAUCUGUGAGGCAAUAAACAUCCUGAGCAGCAUGAACUGGGACACUCUAGGCCAUCAGUGCUUUAUCAGCAUGAGCGCCAUUGUAAACCAUCUUCUUAGACAGAAGCUCACUCCAGAGAGAGAAGCACAGCUUGAGGCAAGCCUUGGAACCUUCUAUGCUCCAACAAGACCACUUCUGGAUACCACUAUAUUGGAAUAUAGAGACCAAAUCAGCAAAUAUGCAAGGAGAUUCUUCCACCACUUGCUCAGGUACCAGAGAUUUGAAAAGGCAUUUCUCCUAGCUGUUGACAUUGGUGCUCGUGACCUCUUUAUGGAUAUUCAUUACCUUGCACUAGAUAAAGGUGAAUUGGCACUAGCUGAAGUGGCAAGAAAAAGAGCUAGUGACAUUGAUGCAGAAUCAAUAACCUCUGGAAAUUCCUGGGGCCCUUGGACGGAGGGGAUAUGCUAAAUGAAGCUUUUAUUGGCCUGUCUUUAGCACCUCAAGGGGAAGACUCAUUUCCAGAUAACCGCCCUCCCUCUGGCCCAACCCACAGACACAUUGUACAACAAAGAAUACUGAAUGGCUCUUCUAACAGACAAAUAAUUGACAGAAGGAAUGAACUUGAAAAAGACAUCUGUUCUGGAUUUUUGAUGACUAAUACCUGUAAUGCAGAAGACAGAGAACUGAGAGAAGACUGCAGAGAACAGGAAAUCAGAGAUGGUGGUUCUCUGAGAAUGAUUCACUUUGGUCUGGUGUAAACAUUAAGAAAAAAAGAAACCUGCCUUCUUCAUAUCUAAACUUUUUCAUGGCCUGAUACAGACUUAAAAUCCCCCGUGUGGAUUUUUAAUAAGAGACAGUAUGAAUUGUAUAAAUUAGUUAAGAGUUUUGAGUGUUUUCAAAAUAAAGUUUUAUUAUUUCAAAAACAUGCAGCAUAACAGCAAAGUGAUCCUAAGUAAAAGUCCUUAACCUACUUAUUUUCAAUAAUGUAAAAUUUUGAAAGUGUCUUAAAUUGUACAUUAAUUAGGUGCUACAAAAAUAGAAUAUUUAAACUUUGUUCUCCCAGGUACUUUAAAAAAGGGGCAGUAGGGGGCAGGCGUAGUGCUCACUGUAGUCCCAGUGCUUUAGGAGGCCAAGGCUGAAGGAUCACUUGAGCCUAGGAGUUCAAGAAUAGCCUGUGCAACAUAGUGAAACGCUGUCUCUAGAAAAUAUUUUAAAAAUUAGCCAGGCAUGGUGGUACAUGCUUGUGAAGCUCAGGCAGGAGAACUGCUUGAGCCCAGGAGUUCAAGGCUACAGUGAGCCGUGAUCACGCCACUACACUAACCUGGGCAACAGAAAGUGACCCUAUCUCCAAAAAAAGAAAGAAAGAAAGUCCUCUUCUGCUCUUGUUUACAUUAUUAAUUUACAUUACAAAUAUAGUACUUAUUAUGCAAAUUUUCAGCCCAGACCCAUUGUUAGAAGACAAUUCUCCAUGGUUCUCUCAAAUUACUGCUAUGAGUAAUUUGCCCUGACUGCCCCUUAGAACACAGAUACUGUUUCCCUCUGGAGAAAGGGGCAAGCAUGCUUAUCAACUAUUAUAUGAAAUUUGAGUUCUUUAAGCUCAGAAUGCCUCUCCUUUACACUGCCCAUUGAGUGUGCAGGUGUCAUCUAGCCCUCUUAACAUUGCUCUAUAGGAAUAGGGCUCAGAGAAUCCAUGAAAAAAAAGAAAAGAAAAAAAUGCCUAUACCCUGGUUACUAUCAUUUGUCUCUGACUUAGGAGUCUCAUGUCUUCUAACAGCAUCCAUGAAACUAUAGUGUGGUAACUUGUUAGCUAGUAAGUAGGGUAAAAUCUCAUACCCUUCACAGUUAUCGACAUCCAUUCUUUAGCAGAUCACUGAUAUUUCACAAUUAUAGACAUCUAUAGGCCAGGCGCGGUGGCUUAUGCCUGUAAUCCCAGCACUUUGGGAGGCCAAGGUGGGCUGAUCACGAGGUCAGGAGAUCGAGACUAUC